rnacentral:rRNA from 1 species
CCGGGAUGCGGACAGUGUCUGGUGGGUAGUUUGACUGGGGCGGUCUCCUCCCAAAGAGUAACGGAGGAGCACGAAGGUUGGCUAAUCCUGGUCGGACAUCAGGAGGUUAGUGCAAUGGCAUAAGCCAGCUUGACUGCGAGCGUGACGGCGCGAGCAGGUGCGAAAGCAGGUCAUAGUGAUCCGGUGGUUCUGAAUGGAAGGGCCAUCGCUCAACGGAUAAAAGGUACUCCGGGGAUAACAGGCUGAUACCGCCCAAGAGUUCAUAUCGACGGCGGUGUUUGGCACCUCGAUGUCGGCUCAUCACAUCCUGGGGCUGAAGUAGGUCCCAAGGGUAUGGCUGUUCGCCAUUUAAAGUGGUACGCGAGCUGGGUUUAGAACGUCGUGAGACAGUUCGGUCCCUAUCUGCCGUGGGCGCUGGAGAAUUGAGGGGGGCUGCUCCUAGUACGAGAGGACCGGAGUGGACGCAUCACUGGUGUUCGGGUUGUCAUGCCAAUGGCACUGCCCGGUAGCUAAAUGCGGAAGAGAUAAGUGCUGAAAGCAUCUAAGCACGAAACUUGCCCCGAGAUGAGUUCUCCCUGAGACCUUGAGUCUCCUGAAGGAACGUUGAAGACGACGACGUUGAUAGGUCGGGUGUGUAAGCGCAGCGAUGCGUUGAGCUAACCGAUACUAAUGAACCGUGAGGCUUAACCUUACAACGCCGAAGGUGUUU